UACGUAGGGUGCGAGCGUUGUUCGGAUUUACUGGGCGUAAAGCGCACGUAGGCGGAUCGAUCAGUCAGGGGUGAAAUCCCAGAGCUCAACUCUGGAACUGCCUUUGAUACUGUCGAUCUGGAGUAUGGAAGAGGUGAGUGGAAUUCCGAGUGUAGAGGUGAAAUGCGUAGAUAUCGAGAGGAACACCUGCGGCGAAGGCGGGUUGCUGGGCUGACACUGACGCUGAAGCGCGAAAGCUAGGGGAGCGAACGGG
rnacentral:rRNA from 1 species